UUUAUCUCUCUCUCUUUCUCUCCACGACAGAUCUCAUCUCAUUCUCUUCUCUUUUUUUUUUUCGAUUCUUCAUCUUCUCCUUCACUCUCAUAUCUCUCAUUUCUCCCAUCUCUGUCCCACCACGUCUCCUCCUCGUCUCACCACCACCACGUCUCCUCCUCUUUCACCACCACCGAGUCUCCUCCUCUGAUCAUCACCGGCUUCGAUUCACGGUGUACCGGAUACCACGGCUUGGAUCUGAGAACACGCCGGAGCUGAGCAUGACGACCUGGGCAGAACAAGACGACGCGG